rnacentral:lncRNA from 1 species
UAGCGGUGGUUUGUAUUGCAAUUCAUUGAGACAAACAUAACAUGUCAAAAGUGAUGAUAGAGGUGCAAUAAAAUAAAGAUUGAAGAAGAUUCAAAUGGCUUGCAUUUCCAAGAUGAUAACAAAAACACCAAUAGACAAGCAAGCCUCACAUGAGAAAGAGAAAAAAUAAAUUAAAAGAAGAUAAGGCAAAGGAAGGGAUCUAAGUGUCAUUUCAGCUUUCGGCUAAGGGCAUCAUCAUCUAACACCAUGCAAUCUUAAAAGCAUGUUGACCGUUGACCACUGGCCAAAGUGGACCCUACCACACCAGAUCCAUCCACCCUCGAACCUCGAUCUCUUUCUCUUGUGACCCCACUAACAUGGGACACGUCAUCAGCGUCAGCAUCUGAACCGGGUUCAGUGCAUGAACCGGUUCAAAGGAGGGAGCUAUUAGUAGAGACACGUUUGGACAAAACGCAGGAUCUAGGGGGUUGCGUGGUUUGCCCUAUCUGGUUUCUGUAACCACACAAGAAAACUUGUUACUUGAGCCCGCAUGCACUAAUUUCUCUAUUUUUCUUUUUUCAAUUGUGUUAUAAAUUGGUAGAGAAAUGAAAGGGAACAAAUUAGUUGUAGUUAUAGGGUAGAAGUAUUAGGUGGGGUGGGUAAUGGGGUAUAUUGUAUUGG